UAGAAUAAAGCUCGCUGGAUAGAGUAUUUAGCUGUUAACUAAAAUUUUACGGGAUCAAGGCCCGUUUUUCUAG
rnacentral:tRNA from 2 species